GGGUGUAGCUCAGUUGUAGAGUGCUUGCCUGGCAUGUGUGAGGCCCUAGGUUGGAUCCCUAACACCACA
rnacentral:tRNA from 1 species